CCGCUUGCAGCGCGCGGCGCGCAUCCCUAUAUUGACCUUGUUCGGGGUUCGCUCCGGGCUAUGGACAUAAACGCGCUCAGAAUAAGCGGAUCGGACCCGGGGGCGGUACCCGGCGGCUCCACCAAAACCCGGUAUUGGCCGGUCAUGGGGCCGAAAUAGGAUCGACGAACGUCUAAAAGGGUUAUGCUUUGUCUCGGUGAGGUACCACCGUUACCGGUCCAAAUGUACAGUUGCCAAUAACAACCGUGCUCCGAUGGCUCUGGCUGCGUAAGCAGUUCGAGUUAUCGAAAAUUAAGUCCUUCCGCCUAGCAGCGUAAGGCGGGGUUCGCAGGUACCUGGCAACAGAAACCUGCACU
rnacentral:tmRNA from 1 species